rnacentral:rRNA from 1 species
GUCUGGUUGUAACUAAAAUCAGUCUGACCUGCCCCCUGAUGGUUUAAAGGGCCGCGGUAUUUUGACCGUGCGAAGGUAGCAUAAUCAUUAGUCUUUUAAUUAAAGGCUGGAAUGAAGGGUUGGACAAGAAACUGACUGUCUUAUAAAUUAAGAUUGAAGUUGACUUUUAAGUGAAAAGGCUUAAAUUUUUUUCAAAGACGAUAAGACCCUAUAAAAUUUUACAUUGUAUAGAUUGGUUUCAAAUUAUUUGUGUAACUUUAUUAUUUUAAUAUAUGUUUCGUUGGGGUGAUGAAAGUAUAAGUUUAACUGCUUUAUUUUAUAAACAAAUAUAUUUGAUAAUUUGUUGAUCCUUAUUUAAAGAUUAAAGAAAAAAUUACUUUAGGGAUAACAGCGUUAUUUUUUUUGAGAGCUCUUAUCGACAAAAAAGUUUGCGACCUCGAUGUUGAAUUAAAAUUUCUUUAUAAUGCAGCAGUUAUAAAAGAAGGUCUGUUCGACCUUUAAAUUUUUACAUGAUUUGAGUUCAGACCGG